UCCUCGUUAACCAAGGCAGUCUCGUAUGAAAAAUCCAACAUACGACAAGGGUUGCGCUCGUUGCGGGACUUAACCCAACAUUUCACAACACGAGCUGACGACGACCAUGCAUCACCUGUCAUCGGGCUCCCGAAGGCACAGUCUGAUUUCUCAGACCUUCCCGAGAUGUCAAGCCCUGGUAAGGUUCCUCGCUUAUCGUCGAAUUAAACCACACGCUCCACCGCUUGUGCGGGUCCCCGUCAAUUCCUUUGAGUUUUAGCCUUGCGGCCGUACUCCCCAGGCGGGGUACUUAACGCGUUAGCUUCGACACCCAGGGGGUCUAUUCCCCGAAUGCCUAGUACCCAUCGUUUACGGCGUGGACUA
rnacentral:misc_RNA from 1 species